rnacentral:rRNA from 1 species
UACGGAGGGUGCGAGCGUUGUCCGGAAUCACUGGGCGUAAAGGGCGCGUAGGCGGCGCGGAUAGUCGGCGGUGAAAGCCCGGAGCUCAACUCCGGGUCGGCCGUCGAUACUUCCGGGCUUGAGCACUGUAGAGGCAGAUGGAAUUCCGGGUGUAGCGGUGGAAUGCGCAGAUAUCAGGAGGAACACCGGUGGCGAAGGCGGGUCUCUGGGCCGAUACUGACGCUGAGGAGCGAAAGCGUGGGGAGCGAACAGG